CCUACGGGAGGCUGCAGUGGGGAAUAUUGGACAAUGGGCGAAAGCCUGAUCCAGCCAUGCCGCGUGUGUGAAGAAGGCCUUCGGGUUGUAAAGCACUUUCAGUGGGGAAGAAAGCCUUGGGGCUAAUACCCUCGAGGAAGGACAUCACCCACAGAAGAAGCACCGGCUAACUCCGUGCCAGCAGCCGCGGUAAUACGGAGGGUGCGAGCGUUAAUCGGAAUUACUGGGCGUAAAGCGCGCGUAGGCGGUCUGAUAAGCCGGUUGUGAAAGCCCCGGGCUCAACCUGGGAAUGGCAUCCGGAACUGUCAGGCUAGAGUGCAGGAGAGGAAGGUAGAAUUCCCGGUGUAGCGGUGAAAUGCGUAGAGAUCGGGAGGAAUACCAGUGGCGAAGGCGGCCUUCUGGACUGACACUGACGCUGAGGUGCGAAAGCGUGGGUAGCAAACAGGAUUAGAUACCCUAGUAGUC
rnacentral:rRNA from 1 species